CGAAGGGGGCUAGCGUUGCUCGGAAUCACUGGGCGUAAAGGGUGCGUAGGCGGGUCUUUAAGUCAGGGGUGAAAUCCUGGAGCUCAACUCCAGAACUGCCUUUGAUACUGAGGAUCUUGAGUACGGGAGAGGUGAGUGGAACUGCGAGUGUAGAGGUGAAAUUCGUAGAUAUUCGCAAGAACACCAGUGGCGAAGGCGGCUCACUGGCCCGUAACUGACGCUGAGGCACGAAAGCGUGGGAGCAAACAGGAUU
rnacentral:rRNA from 1 species